rnacentral:rRNA from 1 species
UACGGAGGAGGCAAGCGUUAUCCGGAAUUAUUGGGCGUAAAGCGUCCGCAGGUGGCACUUCAAGUCUGUCGUCAAAGACUGGGGCUUAACCCUGGAAAGGCGGUGGAAACUGAAGCGCUAGAGUGCGGUAGGGGUAGAGGGAAUUCCCGGUGUAGCGGUGAAAUGCGUAGAGAUCGGGAAGAACAUCGGUGGCGAAAGCGCUCUGCUGGACUGCAACUGACACUCAGGGACGAAAGCUAGGGGAGCGAAUGGG